rnacentral:rRNA from 1 species
GACGAACGCUGGCGGCGUGCUUAACACAUGCAAGUCGAACGGAAAGGCCCUGCUUUUGUGGGGUGCUCGAGUGGCGAACGGGUGAGUAACACGUGAGUAACCUGCCCUUGACUUUGGGAUAACUUCAGGAAACUGGGGCUAAUACCGGAUAGGAGCUCCUGCUGCAUGGUGGGGGUUGGAAAGUUUCGGCGGUUGGGGAUGGACUCGCGGCUUAUCAGCUUGUUGGUGGGGUAGUGGCUUACCAAGGCUUUGACGGGUAGCCGGCCUGAGAGGGUGACCGGCCACAUUGGGACUGAGAUACGGCCCAGACUCCUACGGGAGGCAGCAGUGGGGAAUAUUGCACAAUGGGCGGAAGCCUGAUGCAGCAACGCCGCGUGCGGGAUGACGGCCUUCGGGUUGUAAACCGCUUUCGCCUGUGACGAAGAGUGAGUGACGGUACUGGGUAAAGAAGCACCGGCUAACUACGUG